CCCUUAGAUGUUCUGGGCCGCACGCGUGCUACACUGAGUGGAUCAGCGGGUCAGGUUGCGCGAAAGCGUUUCCUAAUCUUUAAAUCCGCUCGUGAUGGGGAUUGACGGUUGCAAUUUUCUGUCAUGAACGAGGAAUACCUUGUAAGCGCGGGUCAUCAUCCAGCGCUGAAUACGUCCCUGCCCUUUGUACACACCGCCCGUCGCUCCUACCGAUUGAGUGGUCCGGUGAGGCUUUGGGAUCUGAGCGGAAAGAGCGUUUCGCUGUUUCUGCUCGGAAAACUCAGUCGAACCUUAUCAUUUAGAGGAAGGAGAAGUCGUAACA
rnacentral:rRNA from 1 species